CACAUGGAGCAGAGACCCCUGAGAGUGCCCAAGCUGGCCUGGAUGGAGGAGGAGGAGGAAGAAGGAGCCCCAGCUGGAGCUGCCCCAGCACAUGAGAUGGAAGAGGUGGAGCCGUUCCAGCCACCGCAGGAGGGUGAGUGGCAGAGCUGGGCACAGGGAUGGUGCCUGCAGCCAACUAAGCCCCAUCCCAUCCAAUCCCGUCCUGUCCCCUGGGGAUGUGGCCCUGGAGAGGACAGAAGGGGCGCGAAGGCUGAACCCUGCAGUGGCCGUGCUCCAUCCCCUGGGGCAUCCCGGGGCUGUCCCUGCCUGGGGAGCGCAGGGCUGGGCUCUGUUCUCCGGCCUCUCCUGCAGCCCCUCAGCUCUGGCUGCGCUCGCUCUUUGCCAGGUGCGGCCAUGGACCAGACACAAGAGCAGGAGCCCGCCCGUGGCCGCUUCCGCAGAACAGCGCAGGUACCUGCAGCCAUCCCCACCUGGGCUGGGCUGCUGUCACUGCUCAGCCCAGCACCACGCUUGCAAUGCUCCACGCAACAUCCCUGGCUUCUUGCCCUUCUGCUACAGCUGGUUCUGAAAUUCAUCAAGAGAAUUCGGAAGGAAGAGACCAGCGCCAUCGGCACUGGGGUCCAAGGAUACCCGCCCCUCUUCAAAACCAAGACCAGUGCUGCCCUGCUGGAUAUGUUUGUAGAGGAGGGUUUUUACAAUCAAAAACAAGUAAGCAGCCUCGCAGGUGUUGCUUGUCCUCCCAAGCCACGCCUGCUAGUCCUGUGAGGCUUUGAGUCUAUUGCAGUGUGGUGGGAAGGAAAGCACUUCUUUGGGGAAGCUGGAGACAUUACUCCCUCUGGCAGCUUUCCAAGUCUCCCUGUGCCUUCUCCAGGUGCCUGCCUUGGUGAGGUACAUCCACCAGUGGCUCAUGGCCAAUGAGGACUCUGAGCACAGGCUGUCCAGGGCCCUGUUGGUUCUUACCGAGGCACAGCCCGCUGAUGUGGUGAUGACUCUCCUGCGUGUGGCCCCAUCGUGUGACAGGUAUGGGGCCCACCUGCCCAGAGGGCUCAGGGCUCCCCAGCCCAUUAACCUGGACAGUCUGUCCCAGGUGUCUGACCAAAGGGGAAUUCCAGAGCCCUCUGGCUGCUCUCUUCCCCAGCCCUGGCAUGUCAGGCCCCGAGCCUCCUGCCAGGCUCCCUCCCUGCUCCUCAGGGGCCUGUCCCCACAGCGCUGGGCUGCCUGAAAACUUCUGGUGAAGGGCAGUGGGCAGAGGCAGAGCUGGCAGCCAGCUCAGCUCCCCAGUGCUGCCAUUGCCAUGGUGAUGUGUGUGAGAGCCCCCUGAGACAGAGUUCUGACCCCACAGACCUGCUAUGUCCAUGUGGAAGACGAUCAUGUGCUCGCCCAGGAGUGCAGAGCCGGCACUGCUGUUACUCCUUGAUGUGCUGCAGAACUGGCCAGAGCACAGCACGUGCACCUCUGAUGGGGACAAAAGGGGUGUCUUUGCCCUGGCUGUGAGUUACUGGGACUGGCCUCUGCUCACCCCGGGGCUGCCUCUCCAGCAGCUCUCCACCCUCCUUCCCCCACUGCAUCUCCCUGCCUCAGGCGCUGGGAUGAAACCUGGCCUAGGGGCAGCUCCAGGGGCACCAGGCCCGGUGCUCCCCCUGUGUCUCCCCUGGCCUCUCCCUGCCACGCUGGGGCCCUGCCACACAGACACAAGGGCACUGAGCGCUGUCUCGGGAUGCUUUGCCCUUUGCAGGCAACUGUGGUGAUGUGGAAGAUGCUCCGGAUGCUCUCUGUCCCACAUAUGGUGACAAUGUAUUUCCCCCACCUCUUUGUGCAUCUGCUCUUCCAAGUGUUCUUCAGCACUUUGGAUACGCCAGAGGAGGUUGAUACUUUCUGGAAGGCAUGCCAGGAGCAACACGGCCUUGCCACCAGCCCCAAGAGGUGCUCCAUCCCAGUCCUCCUGUGCCUGCCACAUCCCCAGGGCAGGAGCCAGUGCUCCCAGCGUGACCUGGGCUUUGCUCUGCACACAGGUUUGCACUGCGGACCCUGAAGUCCCUGCUCUGCCAAAUGCAAUACGAGAAUGUGGUGGUGGCAAUAGAACGCAAGCGUGGCUGGGACACGCUGCUCUGUGCACACACCCACCUCCAUGCUGUGGGUGUGCUGGCCAGGUGAGAGCCCCUUCUCCCCCCUGCCUCUGGCAUUUGUUCCCAGUGCCCAGGCUGCCCCACUCAGUCCCCGUGGUUGUGGGCCAGAUGGCCUUGGCACUGAGGGUCUGCCAAAAAGACAAGAGAUUCUGGGAGAGGAGGAUGUCCAGGAGCACCUCCCAAGUGGCUUAGGACCCCCUUACAGGACAGUGGUGAAACAUCACACCUCUGGGAGUCAGUCCUGGGAGAGGUUUGUCCCUCUGGCUCACAAUCUUGGUUGCUUUUUCUCCUGCCAGAGAGGUGUCUUUGGCGUCCAUACUCUCAUGUUCCCAGAUCACACACUACAUGCUCUGCCUGCUCAGCACACAGGAACCACGCUGGGAUCUGCCUGCCCUGGCUUUCCUUGUGGAGGUGAGCCUGAAGGCCAGCGCUACCUGCUGAGCUUCCUCCCAGCUCUCUGCCAUCUGGUAGCCGCAGCUGUCUGGGAUGGUGCCCGUGCCAUGUGCCGCUGCCUGGGCCCGGCCUUGUGCACUUCUGGGCUCCUGCUGGCAGGGUCCCCUGCUGCCUUUCAGGUUCUAGAUUGCCUGGACUUGAGUGAAUGCAGUGACACUGUUCUGGAGAUCCUGUCAAAGAGCCUGCGGAGCGAGUGCAGGGAGAAUCAUCACUUGGCACUCAAAGGCCUCCUGGUUCUCGGCAAGAAGCCUCCGAUGGUAAGAAGGGAGCAGCAGCUGAAGCCGGGUGGGUAGUGUGGGGCUGGGUAACACAGUCACUUUGGCUGGGCUCAGUUUCGGGCACUGAGGCAGCUGCUGCCCGCUCUACUGCCUCCCACUUCAGCUGCCCAAGUGCUCAGGACAGGCCUUUGGCCUCUGAGCCCUGCAUCAGCAGGGUAGGGUUUCACAGACUUCUGUUCCACACAGGCCACAAAAAUGUGGAAGCUGACUGAAAGCCUCACAGAGUUCCUGCAGGAAAAGGAUAGCGACAUUGUCAGGAUGACCAUCGUUCUACUUCAAUAUUUGCUGCAGUAUAAUGGCACCCCAAUAGCCAGCCCCAUUGCUCUGAGGCUGGCUGAGGCGCUCCUGCCACUCUUUGACAGCGUAAGGCUCUGUGCCCCGAGCCAUGGCCACCGGGUGCUGCCCAGACAAUUGGUGCCCUGUGGAUUUGAAGGCAGGUGCCCAGAUGGGCCAGAAGCCGCUGAUGCUGAGGUCUUUUUUCCUUCCUUUCACACAGGAUGAUAGCCAGGUGCAGCUGUGUUCUAUGUUUGUCUUUCAAGAGAUGAUGGUGUUAUUAGUGGAAGAGGGAAGAAAGGCCCUGAAGUCACAUGUGCGCCAGAGCCUGCUGCCACUCUCCUUCCACUGCCAUGACCAGAACCAGGGUGUGGCUGAGGUCAGGACUUGGGAGCUGCUGCUUUCCCCUGGGAGGGGGCUUAGCUGUCUCCUACCCUGGAGCCUUGCAGUCUGCAACCUUCUCCUGGCGUUGGCACUGGGACAGUCCUGUGCCCUGAACUCUGGGGCCAUCUCUGGGUGUCUGCUGCUCUGCAGGCCUCUCGGGAAACGCUGCGUUGUUCAGCCAGAUUCCUGAAGAGGAAGGAUCUUGAACAGAUGCUGCAGGUGGAUCAGACAUGGAGGUUUGGCGAGGGCCUGGUAAGGAGGGCCUGGAAGCAACAGCCUCAGCUGGGAGAAGCCCUCUCAGCAUGUUGCUCAGUGUGUGUUGGGCUGGCAGCUGUGGGCCCUGCCCAGUGCUGCACCCAGGGGCACCAGCCUGCACCCCACACGCUGCUCUCUUCCCUGGGCCACCAGGUUGCUUGCCCAAGCUCCUGUGGCCCCGAGCCGGGUGCCGAUGGAGACCUGGCCCAGCAGGGCUGUGGGGCGAGGUGACACCGCGGCUUCCCGGGCAGCACCGACCCUCUGCCCCCUCCAGAGCCCCGCGCCUGCGGCUGCUGGCCGGGCCUCAGGGCUGUGCGGGCAGGGGAGGCUGGGGCUGGACGCAGGGAGAGCCCGGCCGAGGGGCUGAGCCCGCGCCAACUCUUCCCUCCUGCCGCUCUCUCCAGCUGGCUGAGGACAGGAGCCGAGCGGCCGAGCACCUGCGCCGGGCCCUGCCGUACCUGCAGAACCCACAGGAGCCCGUGCGGGAGGCGGCCAUCAGGUUCCUGGGUGAGCCACGAGCCCGGGCUCCCUCCCCGGCCCGCCGCAGCUCGGCCCCAGCCCCGGCUGCUGCCCCGGCAGCGGCCUCCGGGCCCGGCGCCGUGGAGCCCCGCCUGCCCUCGGGGCUGCUGCCGCCCUCUGGCAGCCGUGCCCGCCCCUGGGCGGCAGGAAGCGGCAAGGGCCCGGGCUGAGCCGUGCCGGGCCAGGAGGCCGUGGGGCCACAGGGCUGGCAGCGCCUCUGGCACCGAGCUGUGCCGCUGGGGCCGUGACAGGCUCUGUGUUCCCAGGGAUCGCCGGGCGGCACCUGAGGGGAAACAAGGAAGAGCUCCAGCUCAUCUGUGAGGCCCUUGAAGACAUGGCAGGUGACAGCAGCCAUGCCAUCAGAAACCUGGCAAUGGAAACAGCGUUUGUCCUCCGGGCGGUGCAGAGAGCGCCGUACUCCAUGUUGCGGAAGCUGCUAGAUCAGCUCCACGGGGCAUGGAAGAAACGGCCUUGUCUAUGUGGCAGUGCCUGGCUGUGUUGCUGGAGCUCUGCAGAGGGCUGAUCUGGAAGGCUCUGUCUGCUGGGGUCACCAGAGACAAACAUUUUCUUUUUUUUAAGAUCAUUCUUCUUUCUGUUUUUCUGUAAUCUUUAAAUAUAGAAUGUGUUAUAAAUA